AACGAACUUGAAAAUGGGUUAAAAUUUCGACCCUCGAUUAAAAGGAAUAUUUAAACGUAUACUAAUAGAGGAUGUCACCACAAACUCAUAGAGGUAUCCCACGUUUAAAUCGGGAUACUGUAACUCAAGUUAUGAAAUUUAGAAGUGCUGUUUUGGGGUCUGAUAGCGAGAUCCAUUGGAAAUACGGAAAAAACGAACUUGAAAAUGGGUUAAAAUUUCGACCCUCGAUUAAAAGGAAUAUUUAAACGUAUACUAAUAGAGGAUGUCACCACAAACUCAUAGAUGUAUCCCACGUUUAAAUCGGGAUACUGUAACUCAAGUUAUGGAAUUUGGAAGUGCAGUUUUGAGGUCUGAUACCGAGAUCCAUUGGAAAUACGGAAAAAACGAACUUGAAAAUGGGUUAAAAUUUCGACCCUCGAUUAAAAGGAAUAUUUAAACGUAUAUUAACAGAGGAUGUCACCACAAACUCAUAGAGGUAUCCCACGUUUAAAUCGGGAUACUGUAACUCAAGUUAUGGAAUUUAGAAGUGCAGUUUUGAGGUCUGAUACCGAGAUCCAUUGGAAAUACGGAAAAAACGAACUUGAAAAUGGGUUAAAAUUUCGACCCUCGAUUAAAAGGAAUAUUUAAACGUAUAUUAACAGAGGAUGUCACCACAAACUCAUAGAGGUAUCCCACGUUUAAAUCGGGAUACUGUAACUCAAGUUAUGGAAUUUAGAAGUGCAGUUUUGAGGUCUGAUACCGAGAUCCAUUGAAAAUACGGAAAAAACGAACUUGAAAAUGGGU